AUUCUGAGAUGAAGAACUCUCAUACUGUUUGCAGUCUUUUAUAUGUAUCAGUGCAAAAUGUACUAGGACACCUUGGUCAUAUAAACCAAGUCACUGAACAGAAAGUUUUUGGCGUCUGGUGUCAUCACAUGUGAGUUUUUAAUUGGUAAUGUGGUAAUGCUGUACUGUUUUGAUUGCUUAAGCCUAGAUUUGCAGAGCUGUUUGUGUCAGGAGGCACAUUUGUUUUUCUCCUUUGUGCUUUUGUUUUCCAAUUUCUAUCCUACAUCUCUGUCACUCCCAUCUCUGUUAUCUCUGAAAAACUCUGACAUUUUUGAAAUAUGUCACCUCUAAAUAUGUCAGAUUCGGUAUUUCUUUUAACGUUCCCCAUGUCUCUGUUUCUUUUUUUCUUUUUUUCUUUUUUUUUUUUUUUUCAGAUCUGGCCCAGUAUUCCCUAAAAUAUUUUCUCAUAUGUAUUCAUUCAGUUUUGAUGGCUUCCUUUUCUCUCCUUCUGUUGCAAACAUUUUUGAGUGAGUACAUGUAGUUAAUUCAGAUACUCACAAAACUGUACAAGCUACACACUUGAGUUUCUAAAUGAAAUACCAGAAUGAGACACCAGACCACAGUCACUCAGUCUUAUUGUAUCACUGCAUUGUUCCAGAUGGCAUUUUGCCGUUUCUGUUAAAGCAGCAUUUUAUAGCAUCUUAACACCCACUGCCAUAUAACAUACAUUUUUAAGGACUGUUGAAAGUUGCUUUUCCAAAGCCAUGCCAUGAACACUCUUUCCUAGAGCUUGUUUUCUGCCUAUUGGAGAAUGCCAGCUUCUGACAGAGUUCUUCACAGACCCUGAACACUCUAUGUGAGUAACUAAGACACAUACUCAUUUCUACUCCUUCGCUCUCUUUAGUUUAGACUCUUGUAGUCCCUCUUACUGCGGCUGGCUCCCUUCUUUCCCUCAGCAACUAUGCUAUAUUCUUUGACACCAGCUCCAUGCAUUGUACUACCAUCCCCAGUUAAAAACAACCUGGAAACUAUCUCCUGGAAAACUCCAAUAACUCAAGAUUCACAGUCACUAAGCACAGGAAAAACUAUUGCUGAAAUAUUUUCAACCACUUCUGGAAAGUACUUCCUUUUCUUGUUCCAGUGGAGAUGACCUUCCCAUUACAUUUGUCUUCCAGAAUCCAAGAAAACACUGGGAGACUUCCCUGAAAGACCAGACUACAUGCCUAGAAAAUAUUACCUCAAUUCCUUUUAAAUAAAUGUAUUUUCCAUUCUAGCA
rnacentral:lncRNA from 1 species